rnacentral:rRNA from 1 species
UACGUAGGGUGCAAGCGUUGUCCGGAAUUAUUGGGCGUAAAGAGCUCGUAGGCGGUCCGUCACGUCGGGAGUGAAAACUCGGGGCUUAACCCCGAGCGUGCUUCCGAUACGGGCGGACUAGAGGUAGGUAGGGGAGAACGGAAUUCCUGGUGUAGCGGUGGAAUGCGCAGAUAUCAGGAGGAACACCGGUGGCGAAGGCGGUUCUCUGGGCCUUACCUGACGCUGAGGAGCGAAAGCAUGGGGAGCGAAC